rfam:Candidatus Accumulibacter sp. BA-91 contig000226, whole genome shotgun sequence.
GAAUACCGGCCUGUCACGCCGGGGGUCGCGGGUUCGAGCCCCGUCCACUCCG